ACAAGCGUGGAGCAUGUGGUUAAUUCGAUGCAACGCGAAGAACCUUACCUGGGCUUGACAUCCCGGGAAUCCCCGUGGAAACCAGGGAGUGCCUUGGGAACCCGGUGACAGGUGCUGCAUGGCUGUCAUCAGCUCGUGUCGUGAGAUGUCGGUUAAGUCCGCUAACGAGCGCAACCCUCGCUGUGUGUUACAAGUGUCACACGGUACUGCCGGUCUUAAGCCGGAGGAAGUGGGGAUGACGUCAAGUCAGCAUGGCCUUUAUGUCCUGGGCUACACACACGCUACAAUGGCCAACACAAUAGGUUGCUAAGCCGCGAGGUGGAGCCAAUCCUCAAAGUUGGUCUCAGUUCAGAUUGCAGGCUGCAACCCGCCUGCAUGAAGAUGGAGUUGCUAGUAACCGCAGGUCAGCUAUACUGCGGUGAAUACGUUCCCGGGGCUU
rnacentral:rRNA from 1 species